rnacentral:rRNA from 1 species
AGAGUUUGAUCAUGGCUCAGAAUCAACGCUGGCGGCGUGCCUAACACAUGCAAGUCGAGCGAGAAAAGGGGAGCAAUCCCCUGAGUAAAGCGGCGCACGGGUGAGUAACACGUGGGUAAUCUGCCCUGGAGUGGGGAAUAACACCGGGAAACCGGUGCUAAUACCGCAUACGAUAGCGAGGUCUGCGGACUUUGUCAUGAAAGGAGCAAUUCGCUCUAGGAGGAGCCCGCGGCUGAUUAGCUAGUUGGUGAGGUAAUGGCUCACCAAGGCUACGAUCAGUAUCCGGUCUGAGAGGACGGUCGGACACACUGGAACUGAGACACGGUCCAGACUCCUACGGGAGGCAGCAGUGGGGAAUUUUUGGCAAUGGGGGCAACCCUGACCAAGCAACGCCGCGUGGGUGAUGAAGUCUCUUGGGACGUAAAACCCUUUCGACGGGGAAGAAACCGCAAGGUUGACGGUACCCGUAGAAGAAGCCCCGGCUAACUCCGUGCCAGCAGCCGCGGUAAUACGGGGGGGGCGAGCGUUGUUCGGAAUUACUGGGCGUAAAGGGCGCGUAGGCGGUUUGCUAAGUUAGAUGUGAAAACUCUGGGCUCAACCCAGAGCCUGCAUCUAAAACUGGCAGGCUAGAGUUCUGGAGGGGGUAGCGGAAUUCCUGGUGUAGCGGUGAAAUGCGUAGAUAUCAGGAGGAACACCGGUGGCGAAGGCGGCUACCUGGACAGAAACUGACGCUGAGGCGCGAAAGCUAGGGGAGCAAACAGGAUUAGAUACCCUGGUAGUCCUAGCCCUAAACGAUGGAUACUUGGUGUGACGGGGAUUGAAUCCCGUCGUGCCGAAGCUAACGCAUUAAGUAUCCCGCCUGGGGAGUACGGUCGCAAGGCUGAAACUCAAGGAAUUGACGGGGGCCCGCACAAGCGGUGGAGUAUGUGGUUUAAUUCGACGCAACGCGAAGAACCUUACCUGGGCUC